CACAAAAUAAAACAUAUCUCAAAAAAAAAAAAAAAUCCCAAGUCGAAGAAAGAGAUUUGUUGGAUCUGAGACAUAGCGUGAAGCUCGUCGCCGGCCUCCACAGUGAAGCUCGUCGUCACGACGGAACACAGUAAAGGAGUUUGGUGAGAGCUGGAGCAGAUUCAAGCCAUGGAUCUGGUGGUUGGUAAGUGACGGCAAUUACUGUGAAUAUGAGAACUGUGAAGACGAAGACUGAGAAAGAGUGAACACAUGGUCGUAGUAAUUACGGGGUAAUGAAGCUCCAAACUUGAGGGUGGAUGAAUCUUUUGACGCUAGAGAAAUGGAGUAUGUGCGUUUAGUAUCCGCUGUUUGUUGGAUAUAUGGUGAGAUCACAUUUGUUUCGAAAUUAUUUUCUUUUGGUAAGUUGUGAAGCAGAGAGAGAUGGAAUCCUGGAGUCUCUAGAAGUGACGUAGUCAAGGUUCUCUCCUUCUUUGUUUCUUCCUUUGCCUCAGUCAGUCUGGAGCUUUCAAGUUGUCAAAAGAUGGUUUUCUAUUGCUCCAAUUUGCUCCUUCUGCUGGUGUACAACAAUAUAAUUGGGCAAGAAACAGGUUGCACUUGAUUCGCCUCCAAGCUUCUGUUUGUGCUCUCUUGUCCUAUGCUACUGUUGUUGUUGCUGCAGCUUCUGUCUCUUCUCCUAUGCUACUGUUUUUGUUGCUGCAGCUUCUGCAAAAGAGAUCUCAGACAACCAACGACAAAGAAAAGAACCAAGCUAUAGAGGAUUUGGAGAUGGCAGUGAAGUGUGGACAUCAACCUAAGUUCUUGGAGGGAGAGAAAGAGCAAAUCAAUGGAGUUCUUCGUUUAGUCCAUAUGAAUUACAAUACUUUUCUUGUUUAAGACCUUGUUUUAAAUGGUGUUGAAUACUAAACUAUGUAUCUUUUGAUGAUCUAUGGAAAGAAACAUGCUUUUAAUAAAUUGGUUUUGUAGCAUAUAA